rnacentral:other from 1 species
GAACUCUUACAGCAAUUAAAUCUUCACUCAUUGAAAAAACCUCGAGUUCUG